ACCACGGUGGUUUAGCGGUUAGAACGCUGGCCUUGUAAUCCUGGGGUCUCGGGUUCGAUUCCCGGCGGUG
rfam:Zootermopsis nevadensis contig27574, whole genome shotgun sequence.